AAUCAACGCUGGCGGCGUGCCUCAGACAUGCAAGUCGAACGAUUAAAGCUCCCUUCGGGGAGUGCAUAGAGUGGCGCACGGGUGAGUAACACGUAAGUAAUCUACCUUCGAGUGGGGAAUAACGUCCGGAAACGGACGCUAAUACCGCAUAAUGCAGCGGCAUCGCAAGAUGACAGUUGUUAAAGAUUUAUCGGUUGAAGAGGAGCUUGCGGCAGAUUAGCUAGUUGGUAAGGUAAUGGCUUACCAAGGCUACGAUCUGUAACCGGUCUAAGAGGACGGUCGGUCACACUGACACUGAACAACGGGUCAGACUCCUACGGGAGGCAGCAGUCGGGAAUUUUGGGCAAUGGGCGAAAGCCUGACCCAGCAACGCCGCGUGAAGGAUGAAGUAUUUCGGUAUGUAAACUUCGAAAGAAUGGGAAGAAUCAAUGACGGUACCAUUUAUAAGGUCCGGCUAACUACGUGCCAGCAGCCGCGGUAAAAC
rnacentral:rRNA from 1 species